rnacentral:rRNA from 1 species
GACGUAGGGCGCGAGCGUUGUCCGGAUUUAUUGGGCGUAAAGAGCUCGUAGGCGGCUUGUCGCGUCGAAUGUGAAAACCCACGGCUCAACUGUGGGCUUGCAUUCGAUACGGGCAGGCUAGAGUUCGGUAGGGGAGACUGGAAUUCCUGGUGUAGCGGCGAAAUGCGCAGAUAUCAGGAGGAACACCGGUGGCGAAGGCGGGUCUCUGGGCCGAUACUGACGCUGAGGAGCGAAAGCGUGGGGAGCGAACAGG